CAAGGCUUGACAUAUAGAGGAAAAGUGCAGAAAUGUACUCCCCGUAAGGUCUCUAUACAGGUGGUGCAUGGUUGUCGUCAGCUCGUGUCGUGAGAUGUUGGGUUAAGUCCCGCAACGAGCGCAACCCUCGUCCUAUGUUGCCAGCACGUAAUGGUGGGAACUCAUGGGAUACUGCCGGGGUCAACUCGGAGGAAGGUGGGGAUGACGUCAAAUCAUCAUGCCCCUUAUGUCUUGGGCUUCACGCAUGCUACAAUGGCCGGUACAGAGGGCUGCAAUACCGUAAGGUGGAGCGAAUCCCAAAAAGCCGGUCUCAGUUCGGAUUGAGGUCUGCAACUCGACCUCAUGAAGUCGGAGUCGCUAGUAAUCGUAGAUCAGCAACACUACGGUGAAUACGUUCCCGGGUCUGUACACACCGAAUCUAGAGCAUCGGAGCGACC
rnacentral:rRNA from 1 species